rnacentral:rRNA from 1 species
CCUACGGGUGGCAGCAGUGAGGAAUAUUGGUCAAUGGGCGCGAGCCUGAACCAGCCAAGUCGCGUGAAGGAUGACUGCCCUACGGGUUGUAAACUUCUUUUGUCAAGGAGUAAAGCGAGUCACGUGUGCCUCAUUGUGAGUACCCGAAGAAAAAGGAUCGGCUAACUCCGUGCCAGCAGCCGCGGUAAUACGGAGGAUGCGAGCGUUAUCCGGAUUUAUUGGGUUUAAAGGGUGCGUAGGCGGAUGUGCAAGUCAGCGGUAAAAUUGCGGGGCUCAACCUCAUACUGCCGUUGAGACUGGGUGCCUUGAGUGCGCGAGAGGUAGGCGGAAUGCGUGGUGUAGCGGUGAAAUGCAUAGAUAUCACGCAGAACUCCGAUUGCGAAGGCAGCAUACCGGCGCGCCACUGACGUUCAUGCACGAAAGCGUGGGUAUCGAACAGGAUUAGAUACCCGAGUAGUC